GACGAACGCUGGCGGCGUGCUUAAUACAUGCAAGUCAACUGAACUUAAGAUAGCAAUAUUUUAAGGGAGGUGGCGCACGGUGAGUAACACGUAGGUAAUCUGCCUUUAGGUCUGACACAACCCCGAGAAAUCGGGGCUAAUAUCAGAUGAUGCAGCGGCUCGACAUCGAGACAGUUGUUAAACCUUCGGGGCCUAAAGAUGAGCCUGCGUCUGAUUAGCUGGUUGGCGGGGUAACGGCCCACCAAGGCAACGAUCAGUAGCUGGUCUGAGAGGAUGAUCAGCCACACUGGAACUGAGACACGGUCCAGACUCCUACGGGAGGCAGCAGUAAGGAAUAUUGCUCAAUGGCCGAAAGGCUGAAGCAGCAACGCCGCGUGGAGGAUGAAAUACUUUGUAUGUAAACUCCUGUGAGAAGGGAAAAAUAUAGCAGAUUUCUGCGUUGAUUGUACCUUCAG
rnacentral:rRNA from 1 species